CAGGCCUAACACAUGCAAGUCGAACGGAAACGUAUUGAAACCUAGUGAUAUACGUUUUAGUGGCGGACGGGUGAGUAACGCGUGGGUAACCUGCCGUAUUCUGGGGGACAACAGUUGGAAACGACUGCUAAUACCGCAUAAGACCACAGAGUCGCAUGACUCAGGGGUAAAAACUCCGGUGGAAUACGAUGGACCCGCGUCUGAUUAGCUAGUUGGUGAGGUAACGGCCCACCAAGGCGACGAUCAGUAGCCGGCCUGAGAGGGUGAACGGCCACAUUGGGACUGAGACACGGCCCAAACUCCUACGGGAGGCAGCAGUGGGGAAUAUUGCACAAUGGGCGAAAGCCUGAUGCAGCGACGCCGCGUGAGCGAAGAAGUAUUUCGGUAUGUAAAGCUCUAUCAGCAGGGAAGAUAAUGACGGUACCUGACUAAGAAGCACCGGCUAAAUACGUGCCAGCAGCCGCGGUAAUACGUAGGGGGCAAGCGUUAUCCGGAUUUACUGGGUGUAAAGGGAGCGUAGACGGUGAGGCAAGUCUGAAGUGAAAUGCGGGGGCUCAACCCCUGAACUGCUUUUGAAACUGUAUCCCUUGAGUAUCGGAGAGGCAGGCGGAAUUCCUAGUGUAGCGGCGAAAUGCGUAGAUAUUAGGAGGAACACCAGUGGCGAAGGCGGCCUGCUGGACGACAACUGACGCUGAGGCGCGAAAGCGUGGGGAGCAAACAGGAUUAGAUACCCUGGUAGUCCACGCUGUAAACGAUGAAUACUAGGUGUGGGAGGACUGACCCCUUCCGUGCCGCAGUUAACACAAUAAGUAUUCCACCUGGGGAGUACGAUCGCAAGAUUGAAACUCAAAGGAAUUGACGGGGGCCCGCACAAGCAGUGGAUUAUGUGGUUUAAUUAGACGCAACGCGAAGAACCUUACCGAGGUUUGACAUCCCACUAACGAAGUAGAGAUACAUUAGGUGCCCUUCGGGGAAAGUGGAGACAGGUGGUGCAUGGUUGUCGUCAGCUCGUGUCGUGAGAUGUUGGGUUAAGUCCCGCAACGAGCGCAACCCCUAUUGUUAGUUGCUACGAAAGAGCACUCUAGCGAGACUGCCGUUGACAAAACGGAGGAAGGCGGGGACGACGUCAAAUCAUCAUGCCCCUUACGCCUCGGGCUACACACGUAAUACAAUGGCGGUCAACAGAGGGAAGCGAAUCGGCGACGAAGAGCGAAUCCCGAAAAGCCGUCCCAGUUCGGAUUGCAGUCUGCAACUCGACUGCAUGAAGUUGGAAUUGCUAGUAAUCGCGGAUCAGCAUGCCGCGGUGAAUACGUUCCCGG
rnacentral:rRNA from 1 species